AUUGAACGCUGGCGGAAUGCUUUACACAUGCAAGUCGAACGGUAGAGGGGCAACCCUUGAGAGUGGCGAACGGGUGAGUAAUGUAUCGGAACAUGCCCAGUCGUGGGGGAUAACGUAGCGAAAGUUACGCUAAUACCGCAUACGAUCUAUGGAUGAAAGCGGGGGAUCGCAAGACCUCGCGCGAUUGGAGUGGCCGAUAUCAGAUUAGGUAGUUGGUGGGGUAAAGGCCUACCAAGCCGACGAUAUGUAGCUGGUCUGAGAGGACGACCAGCCACACUGGGACAGAGACACGGCCCAGACUCCUACGGGAGGCAGCAGUGGGGAAUUUUGGACAAUGGGCGCAAGCCUUAUCCAGCCAUUCCGCGUGCAGGAAGAAGGCCUUCGGGUUGUAAACUGCUUUUGUACUGAACGAAACGCGCUGAGCUAAUACCUCGGCGUAAUGACGGUACCGUAAGAAUAAGCACCGGCUAACUACGUGCCAGCCGCCGCGGUAAUAC
rnacentral:rRNA from 1 species